GCGGUCGUGGCGGAAUUGGUAGACGCGCUAGAGACCCGUGGAGGUUCGAGUCCUCUCGUCCGCACCA
rnacentral:tRNA from 1 species